GAAAUCAACCGAGAUUCCCCCAGUAGCGGCGAGCGAACGGGGAGGAGCCCAGAGCCUGAAUCAGCAUGUGUGUUAGUGGAAGCGUCUGGAAAGGCGCGCGAUACAGGGUGACAGCCCCGUACACAAAAGCGCAUGUGCUGUGAGCUCGAUGAGUAGGGCGGGACACGUGGUAUCCUGUCUGAAUAUGGGGGGACCAUCCUCCAAGGCUAAAUACUCCUGACUGACCGAUAGUGAACCAGUACCGUGAGGGAAAGGCGAAAAGAACCCCGGCGAGGGGAGUGAAAAAGAACCUGAAACCGUGUACGUACAAGCAGUGGGAGCACCCUUCGGGGUGUGACUGCGUACCUUUUGUAUAAUGGGUCAGCGACUUAUAUUCUGUAGCAAGGUUAACCGUAUAGGGGAGCCGGAGGGAAACCGAGUCUUAACCGGGCGUUAAGUUGCAGGGUAUAGACCCGAAACCCGGUGAUCUAGCCAUGGGCAGGUUGAAGGUUGGGUAACACUAACUGGAGGACCGAACCGACUAAUGUUGAAAAAUUAGCGGAUGACCUGUGGCUGGGGGUGAAAGGCCAAUCAAACCGGGAGAUAGCUGGUUCUCCCCGAAAGCUAUUUAGGUAGCGCCUCGUGAAUUCAUCUCCGGGGGUAGAGCACUGUUUCGGCUAGGGGGCCAUCCCGGCUUACCAACCCGAUGCAAACUGCGAAUACCGGAGAAUGUUAUCACGGGAGACACACGGCGGGUGCUAACGUCCGUCGUGAAGAGGGAAACAACCCAGACCGCCAGCUAAGGUCCCAAAGUCAUGGUUAAGUGGGAAACGAUGUGGGAAGGCCCAGACAGCCAGGAUGUUGGCUUAGAAGCAGCCAUCAUUUAAAGAAAGCGUAAUAGCUCACUGGUCGAGUCGGCCUGCGCGGAAGAUGUAACGGGGCUAAACCAUGCACCGAAGCUGCGGCAGCGAACGUAUCACCCAAGACAACUUUACGGAGUUGACGAUUGACGGAGCGAAGCGACGUCAAAGCGUUCAUUAAAGUCGAGUUGGCUUAGGGAUACGUUCGUUGGGUAGGGGAGCGUUCUGUAAGCCUGUGAAGGUGUGUCGUGAGGCAUGCUGGAGGUAUCAGAAGUGCGAAUGCUGACAUAAGUAACGAUAAAGCGGGUGAAAAGCCCGCUCGCCGGAAGACCAAGGGUUCCUGUCCAACGUUAAUCGGGGCAGGGUGAGUCGACCCCUAAGGCGAGGCCGAAAGGCGUAGUCGAUGGGAAACGGGUUAAUAUUCCCGUACUUGGUGUUACUGCGAAGGGGGGACGGAGAAGGCUAUGUUGGCCGGGCGACGGUUGUCCCGGUUUAAGCGUGUAGGUGUGUGUUCCAGGUAAAUCCGGUU
rnacentral:rRNA from 1 species